GCGCCAAUGAUCUAGUGGUUAGGAUUUAACCCUUCCAAGGUUAGGGGGGGGAGGGGUUCGAUUCCCUCUUGGCGCA